rnacentral:rRNA from 1 species
UACGAAGGGUGCAAGCGUUACUCGGAAUUACUGGGCGUAAAGCGUGCGUAGGUGGUUUUUUAAGUCUGUUGUGAAAGCCCUGGGCUCAACCUGGGAAUGGCAGUGGAUACUGGAAAGCUAGAGUGCGGUAGAGGGUAGUGGAAUUCCCGGUGUAGCAGUGAAAUGCGUAGAGAUCGGGAGGAACACCAGUGGCGAAGGCGGCUACCUGGACCAGCACUGACACUGAGGCACGAAAGCGUGGGGAGCAAACAGG